rnacentral:rRNA from 1 species
AUGAACGCUGGCGGCGUGCCUAAUACAUGCAAGUCGAGCGAACAGACGAGGAGCUUGCUCCUCUGACGUUAGCGGCGGACGGGUGAGUAACACGUGGAUAACCAACCUAUAAGACUGGGAUAACUUCGGGAAACCGGAGCUAAUACCGGAUAAUAUAUUGAACCGCAUGGUUCAAUAGUGAAAGACGGUUUUGCUGUCACUUAUAGAUGGAUCCGCGCCGCAUUAGCUAGUUGGUAAGGUAACGGCUUACCAAGGCAACGAUGCGUAGCCGACCUGAGAGGGUGAUCGGCCACACUGGAACUGAGACACGGUCCAGACUCCUACGGGAGGCAGCAGUAGGGAAUCUUCCGCAAUGGGCGAAAGCCUGACGGAGCAACGCCGCGUGAGUGAUGAAGGUCUUCGGAUCGUAAAACUCUGUUAUUAGGGAAGAACAAAUGUGUAAGUAACUAUGCACGUCUUGACGGUACCUAAUCAGAAAGCCACGGCUAACUACGUG